GUGCAGCAGGCGAGAAACUUCACACUGUGCGAAAGCACGAUGAGGGAAUCCCAAGUGCUUGCACGUAAGUGUAAGCUGUUUCUCUGUUUAAAACGCAGAGAGAGUAAGGGCUGGGUAAGACGGGUGCCAGCCGCCGCGGUAAUACCUGCAGCUCAAGUGGUGACCGUUAUUAUUGGGCCUAAAACGUCCGUAGCCGGUUUAAUAAAUGCCUGGGUAAAUCGUGUAGCUUAACUAUACGAAUUCCGGGUAGACUGUUAAACUCGAGACCGGGAGAAGUUAGAGGUACUCCUGGGGUAGAGGUGAAAUUCUGUAAUCCUAGGGGGACCACCAGUGGCGAAGGCGUCUAACUAGAACGGGUCUGACGGUGAGGGACGAAGCCCUGGGGCGCAAACGGGAUUAGAUACUCGGUAG
rnacentral:rRNA from 1 species